rnacentral:misc_RNA from 1 species
UUUUAUAACGGCUAAAGCGCUUCACAUACUGUAGUGAUUUCUCAAAUACCUGAGAGAUUUGGUUCAUUGGAUCAUCAGACAUUUGCUGAAGCUGCUCAUAUUUAUGAUCAAGAAUUAAUGCUACUUCACAAUUCAUAAGCGCUUUAGCCGUUAUAAAACUCAUCUCCGAUUUUGAGCUCAGAGGCAUUUUCUUCCUCUUCUCCAGACAUUCUGAAUCAAACAAAAGCUUCACAAAUCAAAAGCCUCCAAAAACCCUCCCUUUUUCCUUUUU